GAGUUUGAUCUUGGCUCAGAUUGAACGCUGGCGGCAUGCUUUACACAUGCAAGUCGAACGGCAGCGCGGGGCAACCUGGCGGCGAGUGGCGAACGGGUGAGUAAUAUAUCGGAACGUACCCAAGAGUGGGGGAUAACGUAGCGAAAGUUACGCUAAUACCGCAUACGAUCUAAGGAUGAAAGUGGGGGAUCGCAAGACCUCAUGCUCCUGGAGCGGCCGAUAUCUGAUUAGCUAGUUGGUGAGGUAAAGGCUCACCAAGGCGACGAUCAGUAGCUGGUCUGAGAGGACGACCAGCCACACUGGAACUGAGACACGGUCCAGACUCCUACGGGAGGCAGCAGUGGGGAAUUUUGGACAAUGGGCGCAAGCCUGAUCCAGCAAUGCCGCGUGAGUGAAGAAGGCCUCGGUUCG
rnacentral:rRNA from 1 species